ensembl:misc_RNA
UUAAAAAUACCAGAGAAGAAAGGCCCGUUUAUCCACAGAACAUAUACAGUAUGGGCAGUUGCAGUACAUGCUUUUCCCAAACUGCCCUGCCAAGGAUCUAUGCUGCAUCCAUUUAAAGAAAGAGAGAGCUUCUGUGUUUUCACUGAACAAAACUGAUCCUUUUGUAAU